ACCCCCAAUAACAGGAAUAUGUAUGUAUAAAUAUAUGGGUACCCUAAUGCCCCAUACACUGACCCCCAAUAAUGACUGCCUGUGUUUCCUUCACACACAUUAUUUGCUACGUUGUUACUAAUUGCUGUGUUUUUGUUCCCUUCCAUAUAACGACAGUAACGACCCUGUACCACAAUGGCGCCCAGACUCUUUGAUUGUAUCCUUGACUGUGUGAGAGGUGUCUGCACACGGCUCGGGUACAAAAAGGAGACUGAAAAAGUUGCCAAAUGGGAGGCGGUUCGUUACGUUGUAAAGGACGAAUCCAUAACUUUUAUCCCUACUGGGGCAAGUUAUUAGGAUUCGUAGGUAAAUAGGUCAAUUAGGUUAGGGGAAAAAAAAAAUUAGGUUAAUUUAGCAAAUAGAAAAAAA